GAUGAAGAACGCAGUGAAAUGCGAUAAGUAAUGUGAAUUGCAGAAUUCCGUGAAUCAUCGAAUCUUUGAACGCACAUUGCGCCCCCUGGCAUUCCGGGGGGCAUGCCUGUCCGAGCGUCAUUUCUGCCCUCCAGCCCGGCUGGGUGUUGGGCGCUGCCCCCCCGGGGACACGCCCCAAAGGCAGUGGCGGCGCCGCGUCGGGUCCUCGAGCGUAUGGGGCUUUGUCACCCGCUCGGGACGGACUCGUCGGCGCUGGUCUUCCUCCAGGCGACCCUUCGGGGCUCGUCUUCCUUCGGUUGACCUCGGAUCAGGUAGGGUUACCCGCUGAACUUAAGCAUAUCAAUAAGCGGAGGA
rnacentral:misc_RNA from 1 species